AUCAGUGGUGACAGCCAGGAUGGUGAAUAUGUAGCAGCUUGAAUUGGCCUUGGUAAAACAACCCCUCUCUUUAUUGUCUUUCAUGUACACACCAAUUGCUGAUUAGAAUCCUGCUCUGCACAUUUUGUCUGAGCAGGCGCCUGGAUCAUUAAUAGUAUCUGUAUGCAACUGUGAAAACCCACGUAAUGCUCAGAAUUGGACUCAGUUUUCUAAAUGAAGAACCAGAUGAAUAUCUGCAAAUCAACUUCUCUCUGUGGCAAAGGUUUCUUUUUUUUUUUUUCCUACCCUGUAGAAGAAAAUUCCAAUACAGGUUUUUAAUUGGAAAUGUUGGAGGAGACCUCUAGACACCAGAAACAAAUACACUGGAGAUGUUUUGCUCAUUA